rnacentral:rRNA from 1 species
CAGCGCCACGAGUGGUAACCACGUUUAUUGGGCCUAAAGCGUCCGUAGCCGGUUUGAUAAAUCUUUUGUGAAAUUGUACAGCUUAACUGUACAGCGUGCAAGAGACACUGUCAAACUUGAGACCGGGAGGAGUCAGAAGUAUUCCAGAGGGAGCGGUGAAAUGUUAUAAUCUCUGGAGGACUACCUGUGGCGAAGGCGUCUGACCAGAACGGAUCUGACGGUGAGGGACGAAAGCCAGGGGAGCGAACCGGAUUAGAUACCCGAGUAGUCC